GUAGCACUUUACUGAAGAUCUGGAGAUGCAAUGGGGGUUUACAUAGCAAGAAUACAAAACCUUAAGGUUGGAUAUAAGACAUCCAUGACUUCAAGAGACUUUUGUACUGUUUUUUGAGGCAGGGUCUCCCUUUGUGGUUCAGGCUGGCCUCAGACUCGAGGUGAUCCUCUUGCCUCAGCCUCCUGAGUGCUGGGACUACAGGCAUGUGCCACCAUGCCUGACUCACGAGACUCUUAGUCAUUUCCACCCAUGGGGCUCCAGCCUUGUACAAAGGGCUUGGAGCACUUCACCCCAUCCUUUCUCAGGAGGUAAAACAAAAGUCAAACUCCUGACAGUUUCUCAUUGAUCGGAGGGCAGCCCUCUCCUUCUAGGCCUCUCUGGGAGCCACAAUGGUAGCUUUCCAGUGAAGAAUGUGUCCCUCCUCAGCUGUGAGACCAUCAUGAGGGUGAAAGACAAACUAGCUAUGCCAAGAGACAGGAGGCCUUCUCCUGAGCUUCUGAGGAGCAGCAGAGCACAGGUUUUCUUUCCUCUAGAAGUGUGUGUGUAUGUGUCCUGCGCCGGAACCCAGGCCUUGUGCAUGUGAGCCUCUCACUUAGCUCCCUGCCCACAUCCCCUGCCCAGGGGACUCUCUGUGACUGUCUAUCUGUCUGUCUCUCUCUCACUGGGGAUCAAACCCAGGGGCUCUACCACUGAGGUACAUGGCCAGCCCCAUUGACAGGGAAAAGUUUUAGAUAACUUAGUAGAUUGAAUAUUUAGGUAGUUGUAGAAGCAAAACAAGUAAUGUGUUCCUUUAAGAUUUGCUUUUCCCGUAACUCUUGUUGUUUAAGGUGACUUUAUUUUUUAUUUUUUGGUACUGGGGAUCGAACUCAGGUCCUUGUGCUUGCACAGCAGGCAACGAAACCACUGAGCUAAAUGCCUGGCCCAUGUUUAAGGUGACUUUAAGGUGACAGUUAUCUGACUCUUUAACCAAUAACUUCAUUAACCUAAUAAAGUUGCAAUGCCUGGGUGAAUUUACAAUGUAUAUGUGCUUAUCUUGUAAUUGUAUUUACACAUCAAAGACCACUAGGGAUGAGAUAAUGGCUAAAAAGGAUAUAAAAAGGAAACAUUGAACAAACUGGCUAAACAAAGGGGCAGGGGGAUACUGACCAGACCGGUUUCUGGCAGUCCCGCCUGCUUGCAAGUAGAACUUUUAUUAUUUUACCCAAAGUCUAUGUCUCUGUGUAUUUCUUUCCAAGAUUUCCGGAACACCAUGACUUUUUAUUUUGAGACAGGAUCUUGCUAAGUUGCUCGGGUAAGCCUUGAGUUUGUAAUCCUCCUGCUUCAGCCUCCCAAGAAGCUAACAUGUACAUCUAAAUUGUGAUAGUCUCAAGAGCGUUCACAAGUUAGGUGUGGCAUGGCUCCUUCAAACAUGUUUUUUUGGUACCAGGGAUCAAACUUGGGACCUUGUGCUUUUGAGGCAGGCGCCGGAACCACUGAGCUAAAUCCCCAGCUCCUUCAAACAUUUUAUCUUUCCUCUUCCCAACAGGACUCUGAACUCAACAGCCAUUUAUUCCCAUUUCACGUAAGUUUCUGAAGGGUGCAGGGGGGUGACCCAUCGUGACUUGGGAGAGGCUGAUUUGGUUCUGGGUUAGCUUGGCUGGAGAGUUCAGCUCUUAAGAACAUCUUACGGGGGUUUAGGUAUUUGGGGAAAAGUUCAUUUUCAUUCUUGCAGCUAAGAUUACAGAUAAUGUAAGAAGGGGUCAGGCAUGGAGGGCAACAGGCAUAGCUGCCCUGGAGGUAGGUCCACAUCUGUGCCCCUCGAAUCCUCUGCCUGGGGGCCAAAGGGUGAUGGGCACCUGACACAGACACCAUAGGUCUCAGCAGUGCCCUCCCAUCACACCAGACCUUAGGCCUCCAGCCUCCUCCACCCACUGCCCACAGAAGAGGAAGCAAGUGUGCAAGGACCAAGCGCACACAGGAUGUGGAGCCACACCAGGGCAGCCCUUCCACUCCACUGGCCACACACACACACACACACACACACACACCCUUCCUGUGUGGGUUUCUCUCUUGUCAGGAAAUCCUUCAAGUUCCCAUGCUAGUUCAUUGGUACAGUCUGCUUGGCCACCUCAGACCCACGAGGCAUUGCCCUGUCUCCCUCCUGCUUUACACCCGGCAACACUGUCUGCCAACUCUAAACUGCACUGGAG
ensembl:lncRNA